UUCGAAGUAGCUCAGUGGCAGAGUGGUGGGCUCAUACCCACAGGUCAGAGGAUCGAAAUCCCUCUUCGAAA
rfam:Coccomyxa subellipsoidea C-169, whole genome shotgun sequence.